UUUGACAGUACCAUGAAAACAAUGUCCGAUCCAAUGUCGCUUGUUGAGACGUUGACACUCAAUUAAAAGAACUAACAAAUAAGGGCAAAUAACUGUGAUACUCACGUAAUAUUCAUCCUUGCAAAUUUGUGUCUCGUCAUCGCAGCAUUACACAUCACAACAGACGAAAUCCCCAAUCUACAAUGAGUAGUGCUUCUAAAUGCUUCUAAAUCUGUUAGUGAUUCCAGAUUGUUGACGAAAUAUCAUCUUCUCUUCACGUUUCGAUGGCCAUUGAUGUUCGGCUGAAGAUGCUGCCUAAUGAGGAGAUGGUGAAAGGUGUGUUUAAAGCUGUUGCUGCUACUGUCCUUGGUGUCACAGUUCAGUGUGUUGUUCGUUAAUUUGUCUGUCAUGUAAAAUCUCUUCCAUCUUUGUCACUUAAAUCUCAUCCACACAGUAUAUGAUUGAGGCAACCUGAUCUUACAUGAUCUAAGAGUGAUUCAAUCGACUCCUACUAGAUCAAAAAACAGUCUGCGCCAAACAAAUAAUAACGAUUAUCGCGGUUGAGAAAAAACCCUGUCAUCCAAUAAAAUUAUGGGUCUUUUGUUUAA